rnacentral:rRNA from 1 species
AUUGAACGCUGGCGGCAGGCCUAACACAUGCAAGUCGAGCGAGCGGCGGACGGGUGAGUAAUGUCUGGGCAACUGCCUGAUGGAGGUGGAUAACUACUGGAAACGGUAGCUAAUACCGCAUACCAUCAGAUGUGCCAAGAUGGGAUUAGCUAGUAGGUGGGGUAACGGCUCACCUAGGCUACGAUCCCUAGCUGGUCUGAGAGGAGGACCAGCCAAGCGGGAACUGAGACACGGUCCAGACUCCUACGGGAGGCAGCAGUGGGGAAUAUUGCACAAUGGGCGCAAGCCUGAUGCAGCAAUGCCGCGUGUGUGAAGAAGGCCUGCGGGUUGUAAAGCACUUUCAGCGGGGAGGCGUUACCCGCAGAAGAAGCACCGGCUAACUCCGUGCCAGCCGCCGCGGUAAUAC